GAUGAACGCUAGCUACAGGCUUAACACAUGCAAGUCGAGGGACCGGCGCACGGGUGAGUAACACGUAUCCAACCUGCCCUUUACUCGGGGAUAGCCUUUCGAAAGAAAGAUUAAUACCCGAUGUAAAGGAUGGGGAUGCGUUCCAUUAGGUUGUUGGUGAGGUAACGGCUAACCAAGCCUUCGAUGGAUAGGGGUUCUGAGAGGAAGGUGCCCCACAUUGGAACUGGGACACGGUCCAAACUCGUACGAGAGGCAGCAGUGAGGAAUAUUGGUCAAGGGGCGUUAGCCUGAACCAGCCAAGUAGAGUGAAGGAUGAAGGCUUAUGGGUCGUAAACGUCGUUGAUAUAAGAAUAUGUAUUAUAUGAAUAAUGAUCGGCUAACUCCGUGCCAGAAGCCGCGGUAAUUC
rnacentral:rRNA from 1 species